GCGAGAAGUACCAGUGCUCGGCCCACAACUAAGAAAAAGGAGUGUGCUUAGUAGUCAGAAUCGGUGGCAGCUGACGUGCUUCGUCGUCGACUCGCUACUGCGGCCGGCCGUCGUGGGCAAUCGACUGUUGUGGUGUGCAAGUCGACCAUAAUAAUAGUGAAUCCAUAGAAAGCCCUAAAUGUGAAUUUUUGCAGCGUUUGGAAAAGAGACAGAAAGGGGCGGGGGGUGUUGGGGCUUGGGAGGACGGGUUGAUGGGGAUAAUCAGGAGCAGCUUCUCCUUGAUAGCGGGUGCAGUUUGCGGAAUAUACAUAGCCCAGAACUAUAACGUCCCAAAUAUUAGGAAUCUUACCAACGAAUUCCUCUUUCGGGCCAAAGAAGUCGAAGAAAAGUAUCGCAAGCCCAAGAAGCCCGGCGACGGCGUUUAGUUCAAUUGCUUUUCUUUUCUUCAAUUAUGAUCCGGUCGAUUAGUUGGUUUCAUUUUGACUGAUACAAGAAAGUGCAGUGCUGGAACAGGAUAUCUCAUAGUUUGGUCAUUAUUUCACUUUUUUCUGGUGGGGAGAUGGGGAGUUAAAUAUUUGCUGAAUAAGUGGUUAAAUCUUGUGAGGUGAUUGCUGCCGUUUUGGUCAGAUACUCGAUUACUGAAAAUUCUGAUUUAGUUGUUUUAUAGUCUUUCCAUAUACUUCCUGGUUCCUUGUCUGUAGUAACAUCUUUUACUCCCCUUCAGAUUACGCACCAUGAAAUGAAAGCCUUGCAUGUCUAGCUUAGUUAAUCUGUUAAGGAUAACCAUGUUGCCAUAUGCUUGUCACAGAAAAAAAAUUGAUUUAUGAAAGAAAAUCGCUCUC